CAAUAGCGUAUAUUAAAGUUGUUGCAGUUAAAAAGCUCGUAGUUGGAUUUCGGAAGGUCCUUAGCAAUCCGCCCCUUCGGGGAGCGGGUUGCUGGCCUCCUAUGUUCCUAACGGUCCUCGUCCGCGAGGGCUGGGGAAUCAACCGCUAGGAUCGUUUACUUUGAGGAAAUUAGAGUGUUCAAAGCAGGCGUAACUCGCCUCCGAAUACGUUAGCAUGGGAUAAUGGAAUACGACUUCGGUCUUGUUUCGUUGGUUUCGCUUGGCUGAAGUAAUGAUUGAUAGGGACAGUUGGGGGCAUUAGUAUUUAGUUGUCAGAGGUGAAAUUCUAGGAUUUACUAAAGACUGACCAAUGCGAAAGCAUUUGCCAAGGAUGUUUUCAUUAAUCAAGAACGAAAGUAGGGGGAUCGAAGACGAUCAGAUACCGUCGUAGUCUCUACCGUAAACUAUGCCGACCAGGGAUCCGGAGAGUUUGCAUGGAUGACUCCCCGGGCACCUUGUGAGAAAUCAUAAGUGUUUGGGUUUUGGGGGGAGUAUGGUCGCAAGGCUGAAACUUAAAGGAAUUGACGGAAGGGCACCACCAGGAGUGGAACCUGCGGCUUAAUUC
rnacentral:rRNA from 1 species